rnacentral:lncRNA from 1 species
CCCGCUCUUAAACCGCCGCGCCAAGAAACUGCCCAGGGGAGGGACGUUGCUUCCCCGAGCCGCCGCCUCCUCCUCCCAGCGCCGCCGCCCCGAAGACGCGUCCCGCGGUGCCGGGGAAGCGUCCCGCUGCGCCCCGCUGCCGGCAGCGCCCGCUGUCAACACCAGGCGCUCGUUCGCUGCCUCCCGUGCACCGGGGCGGUGUGCCUGCUGUCCCCACCGUGCGUCCCCGCCAGGCCGAGGUGUAAGGCACGCUCCCACGUAGCACUGCCGGCCGAAAGGGCUCCCCGAGGGCAUGGCUGCCCAGGGGCAGGGGGCAGACCGGUGCCGUGGUCCCAAGGUCGUGCAAAGAACCUGCAGUGCAGUCAGCAGCUCGACCCGUAUCUGGCCACAGCUGAAGAUGUGUUUCUGGAGGAGAGUUUCUGGAGGGUGCACAUUGCCACAACCCCAAGGCCAUCAUGAUAGAGGACAGCCAUUGAAAAGACCAAUGAUGCUCUCUGUGCUGCCCCACACCUUGCCUCUUCUUCCUAUGCACCUGAUAUAUGUGCAACUAAGGGUGAGUUGAAUCUGUUUUUUUUUUUUUAUUAUUUUUUUUGGAAGGUUAGUUU